rnacentral:lncRNA from 1 species
GGAACCUGGGACCUUAAAAAUGACAACCAAAUGAUAGGGCACUGGAUAAUAACUCCCCAGUCUACCUACUUCUACCUCUUUUUUUUUUUUUGACAAGGUCUCACAGUGUAGCCAUGGCUAUUCUGGAACUCUAUGUAAACCAAGCUGGAAUAGAACUCAAAGAGAUCUUCCUGCCUCUGCUUUCCCAAAGACACAUUAGGGAAGUGUGGGACGAGACAGAACAGUCUUCAAUUUCCAUAUGACUCCGUGGUCAGUGUGACUCCCAAGGACAAUCAAAGCAGAACAACAACAGCUUAACCAGAAAUGAACGUCACAGGAAAGCUUAUCAUCAUCAAGGAACUCUGAAUUUGCAUCCCUAAUGCAUCCUUCUCAAAGAUUCUCAGGGAAGUAGCUGAGUCACCACUGAAGAGCAGCAUUUGAUAGUGCUUUUAAUGAAGCAGGCAUGGCAUGAGAUGGGGACAGACAGAUACUAGGAGUAAGAGGGACAGAACUCCUGGACAGGAGACUGGAAGCUUCCAGAGUCAAAAGUGCCCCCCUCCCACCACCAUUCUACAUGGAGCUGCCUACAGAAAGAAGCCAAGAGGCGUGAAAAGGACGGAGAAGGAUUAGCGAAGAGAGAACAGCAAGGCAACCCAGUGGGAUAGAAGUGUGUGUCUGCCAUUCUGCCUUAGAUCCCGGGUCCAGCUCUGCUACGAGAUCUC